GUUGUGCGUGAGAACUCGCUGGUUUAAUGAUGUCUAUCAGGACCAUUUGUAAGGGUGACUGAGUGUUGGGCGUCGUCUGUGCACUGUUCACUCAUUUAACGCUUGGGAAAAAUCUGGGUAGCUAGCACUGUUAAUUUCAUCCUAUAGAAGGGGAAACUGAGUUGCAGGAAGAUUAAGAAAUUUCCUUAAAGUUACACACCCAGGAAGUGACAGAAUUUGAAUCAGAACCCAAGUCCCACAAUAAUCUUGUGCUGCUCUGUGUCUAUGCCAGGUGUCUAGAAUUGAAAGAUUCAAGAUUCUUAAAUUUUCAGCAAAACCCAAAGGAAGUUUUUCUUUGGAACACAAGGGUUUGGAGCACGUUCAAUGGAGGCCUUCCCCAAAUGGCCUGCAAUCUAAUUCCUUCUGCCUGCAAUCUAAUUCAGUCCUUGCAGGACUGGCUAUACUCACAUGAUUCAUAAAAAGGAAAACAAGGGUAAGCAAGUUUUCUUUGAUGCUCUUUUCCUAUUAAUUUAUCACUUUUAACAUUUCAUUUAAUGUACAUAAUUGAAUAAUAAGAGAAUGGUGGCCCUGUGAGAAUUUUGUUUUUCGGAUACAUUAUUUAUUUAUUAUUUACUUUUUUGAGAGGAGAGGGGGAGAGAGGAAGGGGGAGAGUGGGAGCAUUUUUCUUUUUGUUUGUUGGGAGCCUGGAUACCUGUCCCUAACAGCUAGGGAUGAGCUGGGGCCAGAGUCAUGAGCCAGUCAUGCAAUCCAGGCCAGAGGUGGGGGCAGGGAUCCAAUGACUUGGGCCAUCACAUGAUGCCUCCCAGGAUCUGAAUUGGGGGGAAGCUGAAAUCAAGAGCCAGAGUCAGCGAUCAAAUCCAGACACUACAAUAUGGGACACAGGCCUCCCGACUAGCAUCUUACGUGCUAAGUUCAACGCCCAGCUCUAUUUUUCUGUUAUUUAAGAAGAUGAGCAGAGGACAAAAGCAUUCUUCAGAGGUGUUGGCAACUGAUUGUCAGUCAUUACUCCUGGGUGGGGAAUAUUUUGCAAAGCAGAGUGAGUCUGGGAUCCUGGUGCUGGGAGCUAUGGACGGUGAUCUGGCAUUGUCUCUCCCUGUUCUCGGCCUGUCAUCUCCAGUGUUGGAGGCUGAGUGCUGAGCGCUGCCUCGGCUACAAGACUGUGCCAGAAACUCUGAGUGAGACCCAGAAAUCUGCACUGUCAUGCACUUUCAUGUUAGAGCACCGCCGGGUCUCCAUUUGAGGACAACUGAGAACAUGAGACGGAGCUCCAGUGGCGCAAUCGGUUAGCAAAAGAUGUUUUUUUUUUCAAGAUGAAGAAAAGUGUGCUUGGCUAAAGCUCCAUAAAAUAACAUGGGGCAUUCUUAUAGGAGGUAGAUGCCAUAUAGGGCAAGUAGGCUAUCCCAGAAUGUUAAUAUCUUGGUGACAAUUGACAAAAAUUGACCUAAAAAUGUGAGCUACUUUGAUUCAUUCCCAUGGUGCCUGUGUAGACCCUCCCCAAGAUAUACACCUUCUAAUUUCUGGGUACUGUGAAUCAAACCUUGAAUUCCUACUCCAAGGUCUUUGCAGCUAUGAUUCAAUUAAGGAUUUGGGGGUGGGGAUUACUUGGUGUUCUUGAGAUAGGGCCUAAAUGUGUUAACAGAGGUCCCCAUACAACAGAGGCAGAGGGGUAUUUCACAUACAAAUGCACACACACACAGAAGAGAGGAAGACAUUGUGGAUAGCCACAUAGGAAGGCACAGGUUGGAGUGAUGCAGCUAUAGGACAAGGACUACUGACACUGCACACAAGCUGCAGGGAGCAGGAAUGGAUUCCCUCUCUCCCCCCAGAGUCUGGAGAGAGUAGAACCCUGUGAACCCCUUGAUUUAAGUCCUGUAAGACUUAUGGCAAAUUUCUGGCCCCAGAGCUAUCAGAAAAUAGAUGUGUGUUGCUUUAAAUUCACAAAUUUGUAGAAAUUUGUUACUGUAACUGUAGAAAACGAAUACAAUA
rnacentral:lncRNA from 1 species